CAGCAGCCACGGUAAUACGUAGGGUGCAAGCGUUAAUCGGAAUUACUGGGCGUAAAGCGUGCGCAGGCGGUUGUGUAAGACAGGUGUGAAAUCCCCGGGCUUAACCUGGGAAUUGCAUUUGUGACUGCACGACUAGAGUGUGUCAGAGGGGGGUGGAAUUCCACGUGUAGCAGUGAAAUGCGUAGAUAUGUGGAGGAACACCAAUGGCGAAGGCAGCCCCCUGGGAUAACACUGACGCUCAUGCACGAAAGCGUGGGGAGCAAACAGGAUUAGAUACCCGCGUAGUCCCUGUCUCUUAUAC
rnacentral:rRNA from 1 species